GUUCCUUUCGUUUCGUUGGCUACCUCAUUCCAUCCUUCGUCGUUACUCGUUCCCUCCUCACCACCGACCCGAGUCACCCGAUCCCUAGGUCGAUCGGCUUCGCCGACUUGCUCUCAAGCGCCGACGGCCGUUUCCCUCCGGAUGGAAUCCAAGAGAGAGAGGGGAGGGAUAAGAGAGCGAGGAGCCUUCUUCUCUGCGGAUUAGAGGUCUCCUCCUGAAGUGCAAUUAGGGCUUGUUCUUCCCCACUUCUUCCCCUUCCCUCAAGCUCUAGAUCUCUUGGAAGAGAGAGCUCACGUUUCUAUUAUCCAAAAAUGAUAUUUUUAAGAAAAACAUAAUGGUAUUGUAAUCCAGACAGAUUCUUCGAGGAUACGACCUAGCGUGCAAGAUAUAUGUUAAAAAGCAUGGAGUGACAGCUUUCUCAUUAAGCUUUCAGAAGCUCUUUUUUUCUUUAUGUAACUUGGAGGAAGAUGAAACUUGUCCAAGCUUUCAGAAGCUCGAUGUUUAUUAUGGUAUAUUGUAUUUUAACAUAUCCAUAUAUCUAUUUUGGUAUAGAACUCA